AAUCAGACAUCCAGGCAGAAAGAGGGUCAGCCUCUGCCUUCAUCUGAAAUCGCAACUUAAACAAAUAUCAGGUAACUUUUUCGUAUAUAAAGGCACACAGGAAGCAGAGGAGGGCAGCCCAGAACAGCUGACCCAACCUCCCAGUUGCACUUUUGCCACAAGAAAAGGUUAAAAACCAUACCCACUUGGCUGUUAUACAAAUAACUUUGUUUCAACACAGUGUGUAGGUGAAUAAAAGAGACUGUGUAUGCAUGGGGAAAAUAAAUGUGAUGUUAAUUAUUAAUUUUGACAAGUCUAUAUUUCUUCAUAUAUAUUUUUUCAGGGCUAAAGUUUCAGGAGGGAGGAGGAGGAGAAACCUUGAAGCUGAAUGAGUCCCACUUGUGGCUUGGACUCUCACUGCACAGCAUACAAUAAAAUGGGUUGUGUUAUGAAAAUAGGUUGUGACAGACCAUGGUGAAACCAUGGUGAGCGUGGUCUCGUUUGUGUAAUAAAGGGGUUUGCAAAUGUGGUAUUAAAACGGGGAAUCUACAAAUGCAAAAUAAGCUAGGGAGGAUAUUAUCUAAAGGUUUCUGUAUGUUAACUGGCUUCAAAGGCACACAAGACAUUUUCAGCUGGUACACCAGUUGUGGUAAAAGUGUGAUAGAAUGUCAUGAGGUUUGCCAUUCAAGAUGAAACCCAUGGUUUAUUUUUGACAACCACAAACCUUUUUGUCAAAACCAGCAUGAAACACACACAGAUGCUACUUCAUUCUGUGUCUCCUUCCCUUGGGGAAGAGCAUUUGAGGACCCAACUCAAUGCCUAGAUCUCUCAUCUCUUUAAACAUUGGCAAACAGCAGCUGAAGGAGGGCCCAGUCUGGACCAGGACUGUGCCACUGAGGAAUUUACUCUUUCCACAUGCGCCAUUUUUUGAUUGAAAAACAUCCCCCUGAUAUUUGGCCUUAUUAGGGGGAAAGGAUGUUACACAAAAUGGUAGGCAGAGGAUGUGAUGGGGGACAAGUUCUGCAGCAAUUCCUCCCCCCCCACACACACACAUGCUUUCAGG